AGUGAACGCUGGCGGUAGGCCUAACACAUGCAAGUCGAACGGCAGCACAGUAAGAGCUUGCUCUUACGGGUGGCGAGUGGCGGACGGGUGAGGAAUACAUCGGAAUCUACUUUUUCGUGGGGGAUAACGUAGGGAAACUUACGCUAAUACCGCAUACGACCUACGGGUGAAAGCAGGGGAUCUUCGGACCUUGCGCGAUUGAAUGAGCCGAUGUCGGAUUAGCUAGUUGGCGGGGUAAAGGCCCACCAAGGCGACGAUCCGUAGCUGGUCUGAGAGGAUGAUCAGCCACGCUGGAACUGAGACACGGUCCAGACUCCUACGGGAGGCAGCAGUGGGGAAUAUUGGACAAUGGGCGCAAGCCUGAUCCAGCCAUACCGCGUGGGUGAAGAAGGCCUUCGAGUUGUAAAGCCCUUUUGUUGGGAAAGAAAAGCAGCAGGUUAAUACCCCGCUGUUCUGACGGUACCCAAAGAAUAAGCACCGGCUAACUUCGUG
rnacentral:rRNA from 1 species